rnacentral:rRNA from 1 species
CAAAACUACGGUCUCAGUUCAGAUUGCAGGCUGCAACUCGCCUGCAUGAAGUUGGAAUUGCUAGUAAUCGCGAAUCAGAAUGUCGCGGUGAAUACGUUCCCGGGCCUUGUACACACCGCCCGUCACACCAUGAGAGUCGAUAACACCCGAAGCCUGUGAGCUAACCGUAAGGAGGCAGCAGUCGAAGGUGGGGUUGAUGAUUGGGGUGAAGUCGUAACAAGGUAAC